CUGAAUGAUUGUGGGGAAAUCAAGGUGACAAGGCAAGUGUUGGUGGCAUUAUCCAUUGGCAAAUAUGAGGAUAAGGUGCUUUGUGAUUUGGUUCCUAUGCAUGCACAGACCAUGGCAGUAUGAUCUGAGGGUUACACAUGAUGGAUUCACAAAUAGGUACUCUUUCACUCUUAAAAAGCAACCUAUUACUCUUGUGCCAUUAACUCCAAAACAGGUCAUGGAGGACCAACUAAAAUUACAAAGAUCAAAUGAAAAAAAGAAAGAAUAAGGAAGGAAGGCUGAAAUUGAAAACAAAGAGUUUAAAAAAAAGAAAGAGAGAAAAAUAUUGAUCAGAGUGAAAAAGAAAGAGAGAAGAUUUCAGCCAUAGUCAGAGCAAGAGAGGAAAAAUUCAAUUACAUUGUAAAAAAAAAGUGAGAUCAAGAGAGUAUUA